rnacentral:ncRNA from 2 species
GGGGACGGUCGCAAGACCGAAACUCAAAGGAAUUGACGGGGGCCUGCACAAGCAGUGGAGCAUGUGGUUUAAUUCGAUACAACACGCAAAACCUUACUAUCCCUUGACAUAUGAACAACAAAACCUGUCCUUAACAGGAUGGUACUGACUUUCAUACAGGUGCUGCAUGGCUGUCGUCAGCUCGUGUCGUGAGAUGUUUGGUCAAGUCCUAUAACGAGCAAAACCCUCGUUUUGUGUUGCUGAGACAUGCGCCUAAGGAGAAAUUGCCACUGAGUGACGUGCCAGCGCUACUACUUGAUUGAGUGCCAGCACGUAGCUGUGCUUUCAGCAAGAAUUUCACCAUUGGGAGCCGGUGCCUUUCGAAGCACUUUCACGUGUGAACCAAAGUCGUCUUGCCCAAGACCCACGGAGACCUACCUAUAGUGACGUCAAAGUACCAGUGAGCAUGGAGGUUUGGUUGAAAUUGGUUACGACGAUGUUGAGUUGGCGGCGGAGGAAGACUCGGCAUGAAGGCUAGAAAAUGGUGUGGAACGUAGUGGUAAUAGUACGCGCCCCGCUCCGAAACAAAGAAAAAGGUGCGUGCCGCACUCACGAGGGACUGCCAGUGAGAUACUGGAGGAAGGUGGGGAUGAAGUCAAGUCCGCAUGGCCCUUAUGGGCUGGGCCACACACGUGCUACAAUGGCAAUGACAAUGGGAAGCAAGGCUGUAAGGCGGAGCGAAUCCGGAAAGAUUGCCUCAGUUCGGAUUGUUCUCUGCAACUCGGGAACAUGAAGUUGAAAUUGCUAGUAAUCGCGGAUCAACAUGUCGCGGUGAAUAUGUACUCGGGCCCUAUACA